rnacentral:rRNA from 1 species
UACGAAGGGGGCUAGCGUUGCUCGGAAUUACUGGGCGUAAAGGGCGCGUAGGCGGACAGUUUAGUCAGAGGUGAAAGCCCAGGGCUCAACCCUGGAAUUGCCUUUGAUACUGGCUGUCUUGAGUACGGGAGAGGUGUGUGGAACUCCGAGUGUAGAGGUGAAAUUCGUAGAUAUUCGCAAGAACACCAGUGGCGAAGGCGGCUCACUGGCCCGAUACUGACGCUGAGGCACGAAAGCGUGGGGAGCAAACAGG